AUUGAACGCUGGCGGAAUGCUUUACACAUGCAAGUCGAACGGCAGCACGGGGGCAACCCUGGUGGCGAGUGGCGAACGGGUGAGUAAUACAUCGGAACGUGCCCGGUCGUGGGGGAUAACGUAGCGAAAGUUACGCUAAUACCGCAUACGAUCUGAGGAUGAAAGCGGGGGACCUUCGGGCCUCGCGCGAUCGGAGCGGCCGAUGUCAGAUUAGGUAGUUGGUGGGGUAAAGGCCUACCAAGCCGACGAUCUGUAGCUGGUCUGAGAGGACGACCAGCCACACUGGGACUGAGACACGGCCCAGACUCCUACGGGAGGCAGCAGUGGGGAAUUUUGGACAAUGGGCGCAAGCCUGAUCCAGCCAUUCCGCGUGCAGGACGAAGGCCUUCGGGUUGUAAACUGCUUUUGUAUGGAACGAAAAGGCUCUGGCUAAUACCUGGGGCUCAUGACGGUACCGUAAGAAUAAGCACCGGCUAACUGCGUG
rnacentral:rRNA from 1 species